UACAGAGGGGGCAAGCGUUAUUCGGAAUUAUUGGGCGUAAAGGGCGCGUAGGCGGCCAUUCAAGUGACGGGUGAAAGCCCUCGGCUUAACCGAGGAACUGCCUGUCAGACUGGAUGGCUUGAGACCGGGAGAGGUGAGUGGAAUUCCCAGUGUAGCGGUGAGAUGCGUAGAUAUUGGGAGGAACACCAGUGGCGAAGGCGGCUCACUGGACCGGAACUGACGCUGAGGCGCGAAAGCGUGGGGAGCAAACAGG
rnacentral:rRNA from 1 species